rnacentral:rRNA from 1 species
CCUACGGGAGGCAGCAGUGAGGAAUAUUGGUCAAUGGGCGCGAGCCUGAACCAGCCAAGUAGCGUGAAGGAUGACUGCCCUACGGGUUGUAAACUUCUUUUAUAAAGGAAUAAAGUGAGGCACGUGUGCCUUUUUUUAUGUACUUUAUGAAUAAGGAUCGGCUAACUCCGUCCCAGCAGCCGCUGUAAUACGGAGGAUCCUAGCGUUAUCCGGAUUUAUUGGGUUUAAAGGGAGCAUAGAUGGGGUGUUAAGUCAGUUGUGAAAGUGUGGGGCUCAACCGUAAAAUUGCAAUUGAUACUGGCAGCCGUGAGUACAGUUGAGGUAGGCGGAAUUCGUGGUGUAGCGGUGAAAUGCUUAGAUAUCACGAAGAACUCCGAUUGCGAAGGCAGCCUACUAAACUGCCACUGACAUUGAUGCUCGAAAGUGUGGGUAUCAAACAGGAUUAGAUACCCGAGUAGUC